UGUUAUCUUCCUAUUCUCUCGAACUGUUCCUACCAUUUGACCCAGCCCUUUUUGAAUCCUGAAAAUUUUGCAGAUUUGUCAAACAUUUAAUUUUGAAUUCCAGUUUCUCGGCAUCUAUCUCUCGAAUUUGAGCUCAUCAUGUCGCGGCUCACCACUUGGAGAAAGCCAAAAAAGAUCGUCGGUUCUUCUUCCUCAACCCUACUCUCAAUUCCGCAACACGAACUUGUUCUUCCCUUCUCAUCCUCUCUCCUUUGAGCGCACCAGAAUCGUUGCUAUCACCUAACCUUCUAUUAAAAAACCCGCUGGGUCACCACCCUUAUCUGUAGUCUAGGGCUCAAUUUGUCUCUGACAACGAUUCAAGCCAAAAACGUCUUCAAUGAUUUUGGAUUUCGGCUUUGUUAUGUGGGGCUUGGAAGCAGUAUAGUUGGGAUUUGGGUUUUGAUCUAUAAACCGUCUACAGUAAUCUCUUCCAUUUUUUGGUGUUUAAUAGACUAUGAAACUAAUUUUUAUUACCACUCCUCUGUAUCUCUCUAAAAACAAAUUAGGAUUUUUUAAAUUUGAAUUUUAGAAAUUGAAAUCUGCAAAGCAUAUGGUCACAAAUUUGACUUUGUAGCUUGGGAUGUUAAUGUAAUUCUCUUUUGGUCUCAUGAACCUGCUGAUUCUCCUUAAAAAUCCAACAUACAUCUACAUGGUAUUGUUGAUCUUACUCACACUCUCACACCAUUGGCCCUUCAACAACCAUAUGUCUCAGGUUCUGACGAAUUCCCAUAUUAGGGAUGUUUUGGAUCUGAUGAAGAUUCUCUUGGAAAGUAUUGUUACUUUUCCAUACUUUUUCAGGAACUAAAAUCUUUAGAAAGGAGUUAUGAACUGUCUUGUAAGAGCUUCAGAUCUUGGAAUUUUAAAUCUGCACUAAAAAUGCAUCAAUUGCAACACCCAUUAUUAACAAACGAAGUUGGUGCAGGUCUUACUAGAUCUAUGUACAUUUGACUGCUUGCUUUACUAAGCAUCUUUGCCCAUCUAGAUUUCCACAAUUCAAGUUGGGGUGGUUGCACUACUCAAUUCCUAUUUAUUUGUGAUCAAUCACAUUUACCCUUUUAUUAUAUUUUGUUUUUUUUUUUUUUAUUCUUUUUGUUGACUUUUGAACUUUGUAUCUUGCCCGGCUUUUCGCUAACUUUUCUUUAAUUUUAAUAAAAAUAGACACUCUUCUAAAAUAAGUAUCCGUAAGGUUUCUUAGAAGAUUAGAUGUUGUUUUGUUCUUAAUAGAAUUAUGUACCUGGUGGUCCAAUCGUCGACUAGAUGUUGUUUUGUUCUUAAUAGAAUUUGUUAUUAACUUUUUUUUCUCA